CUAGGGAAGUUGUAGGGUGCAGGAAAUUGCUCUGACCAAAGAUCAAUACUGAUUGCUCACAAAGAUGAAUGGAACUGGACUAUGGAUACAUGUUGCCCAAGACUAUGCAUGCUUCAGCCUGCAAAAAGUAUUGCUGCUUUAAUGAAUAACAGAGAGAGAGUAUAAGAACGUGUUCCCUCAAUCCUGGCUUGAACUCUGACGAUGCCAGCAGAUGCUAGCGAAAGCUAAGUUUUAAUAAAUUUUUUAGUCUUGGUGAUCUGUGUUUUCUGAUUUUGAAUAUCUAUCUAUCUAUCUAUCUAUCUAUCUAUCUAUCGAUCGAUCGAUCGAUAGACAGACAGACAGACAGACAGUGUUUGCAUAUUGUUAGAUUGAAUUUCACAAGGUGCUAAUAUUUACCUAUGUCUGUUUGCCUUGACAGUGUUGUCACCAGAGUCUUACUGAUAUGUCCUAAAUAUUUGUACUUAUUUAUAGAUAUACAGGUUAAACACUGAAGAGUUUAAGAAUCCAAAGCAAGCUUCCUAACGCAUGAGAGUCCAGAAGACAGCAAUUGGAGAACCUCAGGCUGGAAUGCUUGUUUAAGAAUAGCCAUCUACAAGGAAGAUUGAUGAUGAGAGUUGAAGUUUUGUCAAACUGGUGUCCAGUAACCUUUAGCUGCCUCUCUGUGGGAAAUACAGAGGACUGAGGUAUUUAAAACUUCUCAGCUUUGCUGGAACAACUGGUACAGCUGAUAUUUAAGGCUGCCCCAAAGGCUGCAGUCUUGUAGGAACAAGUUUGGCAAUGGGGAUGUUGAGAAUGUCUUGUUGGCUUUAGAAAACCAGAGUGGACUGGAGGUAAGUUCUGCUUACGUACAGUAUCUCCCCUUGAAACUGAUAAUACUGGACUGCCUACAGAACCCCAGAUGCUGUUUUUGCUUGGCCCUUUCAGCACUGAUAAAAAACUUUGGCCUGAUUUAUAGUUUUACAAUCUGGCUUCAUAGUAAGAGAAUUGAUAUAUAAUACUUCGUUAAAUUUCCUGCUAGAAUCUUGUUAGGCGGUGAAAGUUGAAGCAAUUAGCUUUUUAACUUUCAAAACUUCUGGUUUUUAUAAUAGCCCCAUGUCCUUUAAGGAACAGGGCAUCUUGCCUGGCACUUCUUGAAUGCCUAUCAGAGCAUAUAAAAUCUUUGUUUCCACAUUUCCAGGGACAAUGGGAGAGAUAGUACCUCCCCUUAGUUUUUUCCUGACACAAUUAAGGAUGGAUGGGCCUUCCUUUCAAAAUGCUUUUUAGAUAUCUCAUUGUGGAUGAUAUGAUUAAAAGGGAAUGUGGAAAAACUAAAAUUCUGGGUUUUUUGGCUGUAUCUUCCCUUCCCCCGCUUUCCAUUCUGUCCUGCUUCAAAGCUCUGAGAUGGUUCCAAUGAUGGGGGCUAAGAACUUCAAGGUUCUGUUAGAUGAUGUGUUCUCUCUUUGGCCAUUUAUAAUGAUAACUGUAAGAGUCUGUCAUCUUCAGUUAUUGAACUUCUGCCAGAUUAAACAAGUUCUGUUUCCUGACACUGCAGAUUUAUUGGUUCAGGCCCUGGUGGUCUCUCUUUUAGGCAUUACCUUAACAGUCUAAGGUGUGUCUUCCUUUUUCCUUCUUCAAUCAUUAAUCUUGGUCCAGAACUUUGCAGUAUGUGUUAUUCUCAAUCUAUCUUUUUCUCAUAUUUCUGCUUCUGCAGGGCUUUUAUCAGCUUCCUACAAUAGCCAGAGUCCAAUGCCAGUUGUUGGUGCUAGUAUUUAAGAACCUGCAGUCAGUUAUUUACCACUCCCUGUUCCAGCCCCCAUCCUAGUAUGUACCUGUUUAUACAAAAUAGUUAAUAACAAAAGGGAUUCUUUCUCCCCUUUCUAUUGGCACUUUAUAUGUUGCUUUAUCUAUUUGGAUAUAUUUCAGAAACUAGGUCUUUGAUUAUGGAAUUGUGUUCUUGCCCAAUUCUGGCUACUGCAUUUAAGAUUGAUUUGAAAACCUGUUUAUUUAAUACUAAACUAAUUUUACACAGUCAUGUAUUUAUAUAUUUGCCUACUUAUUUCCUAACAUGUCAGUGCUGUUAUAUGCUGAAGAGUGUAGAGCAUCGUCCAUUAAAAGUAUGCAAAUAAUUAUACAACACCCUGCAUUAUAAGGGUUUUGACUAUAUUGUGGAAAAAUCCAAAGGCAAUUAAUUGACUUGUUUUGCUUAUUUGUUCCACGAUAACAAGCUGGAGAGAAAAUAAGAGUGAAACAGCAACUGGCACAAUUCAUUGGUAAAGUCUGGCAGCAAGAAUAUGCUUCUGACCAUGGAUUCACUGUAGGGACAAACCACACCAAUUGCUGCCUGCCCAGCCAAUGUGGGUGGAGCUCAUGAUACCAUGAAGCCUUGCCAGUACACCUGCAGAACAAGGGCUCAAGAGAUGGAGGGACAUCCUGGAGAAGACUUGGUGCUAAAAGGACAGAAGAACUACAGUAAAGAUAUGAAACCAACAAUGUUGCAGCAAAAUGUACCAUGGGCUGCAUCAACAGAGUGCACCUAGAGUCCUAGACCUAAGCUUAAUAAGGCAACAUUGACAUUGCUUUUUGUAGACCUAGGCUGCCAGAGAGUCAGGAUGCCUGGUUCAUAGUAGAUAUUACAAGGACUUCUUAUGUUCACAAGUUUAUCCCUAUUCUGGAAGAGCAGUAGACCUGUUCUUAAACAUAUGUUUAUCACUCUUUUGAAAGGACACAAGACUUAUUUUGGGAACUGGUGCAAAUUGAAGAAGAGAACUGGAUUUUGUCAACUGCCUAUAGCUUAUCCCAAAUGUGUUUUCUGCUGCUGGUUCUCCCACUGUGAGGUUUUGUGUGAUCAUACUUUCUACCAGUUUUAUUCCUUUGAGAGGCUGGUAAGUUUCUCUACUACAGCAUCAUUUUACACACUUUAUUGGCUACCUCCAGUACUGUUGGUCAUAUCUAUUCACUGGCAGCAACACUUGUUUGUUUGUUUAUUAAUCUUGUACUCCUACCACAAUCCAAUGACUCUGCAGCCUACAAGGUUUACAAUGCAAUAACAAUUAAAUCAUCCAUAGUACUAUCUAAAAUCAAUAUAUUUACAAUUCAUUAUGCUUGGGUUCUGCCCAUUCCUAGAUAUAGUAGGUGGCUCAUAAUAAAUGAUUUAGAACCUCCAUAAUCCAAGUGAUAUAAAAACAAAAUUCAUACAAAAUCAGUAAACCAUGAUCACUGUAUAUUAUAAAGUAGCCACAAGACGGAUGAAACUCUACUAGAAGGAUUUCCAAAGAAUCAGGAUGGCAAUGAUAAAAGAACAUAUAAAAGGCCCCAUCAGAUGACAGUUCCAGGGAUAUAGCUGACUCUAAGAUCUCGUUGAAUGGGUAGAUGAAUGCCAGAGAAGAUCUCUCAGAUAACCAGAACCAUGUAUGGCUCUGCAUAGGUAGCCAUGAAACCAGCCCAAUAAAUAUCAUCUGGAGUUCUACUAGCAAUUAAUGAAACUAUAUUGAUAUAAUAUAUUGAGGCCCACUUACCACUGCUUGGGAUACCACAUUCUAUACCAGCUUCUAGAUCAGACAUGUCAAACUCGCGAUGUCACGUGACGUUGCGAGAUGUAUCGGCACUGUUUUACCAUUGCCGGCAAUGGGGUGGGUGCGGCUUCCGGAUGAUGUGUCCAGCCUGCGGGCCAGCACUUUGACACCCCUGUUCUAGAUGUUCCUCAAGGGCAGCUCCACUUACAGCACAUAACAACUGGGAAGUAAAACAGAUGUGAGUGGUUAUGAAAGUGUGGGAACACAAUUAGCCAUGUGAUCUAGUUGAUUGGGCCAAUUCUAGUCAGAACAGGCAGUCCUGCAGGUAACUAGGGGUCAAGUCUUAAAGGGCUUUAUAUAUAAGCAACAGCACUUUAAAUUGUAUACAGAAAUCAAUCGGCAACUAGCACAGGGCUCAUAAAAUCGGUAUUAUACCAUUCCAUUACUGUAAGUCAGGAAGUACAUAGGUCACCGUAUUUUGGAACAUUCAUACUUUCUGGAUAGUCUUUAAGGGUAGACCCAUGUAAAGCACAUUGCAGUAGUCCAGCUAGGUCUUCUGAGAACAUUUAUUGCUGGACCUUUGCCCUCCUGCACUAGGAAAGAUAGCAAAAGUAUUGGGCAAAGUUGACACUAGCUAUGACCUCCAUCUAUUGUACCAGUAGGAGCCACGAGUCUAGAAUUAUACUGUAAAUCUGCUUCUUCAUGAAAAUGCCUGGCUAUACACAGAUAUAAUACUGGCAGUGACUGAGAACUCAAAACUUCAAACAAAAACUUAAUUAUACUUGAGUUCAGCUUCAGGCUAUUGUCUCCUACAGCCUCCUGUAUAUCUAGAGCCUCCAGAUAUGGGGUUAGGAUAUAACAGCAUUUCCCUUAUG